rnacentral:rRNA from 1 species
UCUAAGAACUGUGGUGCAAAAAUGCAUCCAUUGUAACAGCAGAUGUCAUGAGAGAGAAAUAGGGAAGUGUAGGAUCAGAAAAAGCGAGGUCAGGUUGUGGUCGGUCGUUGUUGUAAUUAAAUAAAUGUGUUGUGAAAUUUUUUUUUUUUUUAAAAAAAUUUUUUUAUAUUUUUUUUUAUUUAAUAUUUUUUUAAAUUUUUUUUUUUUUUUUUUUUUUUUUUGUUUUUUUUUUUUAAUUUAAAUUUUUUAUUUUUAUUAAUUAUAUUUUAAUUUUUUUUUUAUAUAAAAAUUUUAAAUUAUUAUAUUUUUUUUUUUUUUUUAGUAAACCGGCUUGGUAAGGGGUCUUGUGCUCCUUGCUAGGUCCGGGAUGGCCCAGGUAGCCCGUUUGUGCGAUUAUCGUGCUUUGGGGUGUAAUAGCGAAUGCUUUUCGGUUCUGUGCGUACGGGGUCGGAGACGGCGGCUUGUGUGCGUGCGGGCGUGCCUGUCGCGCCGGCGGCUCUGGGUCCUGGUUGCCUUGUUGCUUGUGAAUGCAGGCCAGGUUGAUGGCUCGGUGUCGUUCGGUCGCGGUUGCGUUUGUUGCACUUUGAAAGGAGCCCAACAGUCUGUGGUGUAAGUGGGUAGACUAAUUCCACCUGACCCCGUCUUGAAACCGGACCAAGGAGAGUAACAUGUACGCCGAGUCAUUGGGCGUUACGAAACCCAAAGGCGACAGUGGAAAGUUGAAGGCUCGGCUUGUCUGGGUGAGGUGAGAUCCCUGUCGUUUCUCAUGCGCGGUACUACCAAGCUUCGAGCGGACAGGCGCAUCACCGGCCCGUCCCAUGGCGUAGAGGCAGCCUCGUGCUUGCUCAUAGUGGGGCGGAGCAUGAGCGUCGACAGUUGAGACCCGAAAGAUGGUGAACUACUGCUUGCGCAGGUUGAAGCCAGAGGAAACUCUGGUGGAGAGGCCGCAGCGAUUCUGACAGUGUCAAAUCGAUCGUCAACGUGAGUAUAGGGGCGAAAGACUAAUCGAACCAUCUAGUACUGGUUCCCUCUCGAAGUUUCCCUCCAGGAUAGCUUGGCAUUCUGUGAUAUAAACAGUUUUAUCCGGUAAAGCGAAUGAUUAGGAGGCAAUUGGGGCAGAAACGUCCUCACCUAUUUCAAAACUUUAAAUGGGUGAGAAGCCUAACCGCUCAAACGGAGCUGGCGUGAAUGUGAGUGCCUAAGUGGCCAUUUUUGGUAAGCAGACUGGCCGCUGUGGGAUGAACCAAACGUUCGGUUUAAAGGUGCCUAACGCGACGAUCAUGAGAUACCACAAAAAGGUGUUGGUUGGUCCAACAGCAGACGGUGGCCAUAUGGAAGUUGGAAUCCGUCUAAGGAGUUGGUGUAACAACUCACCUGCCGAAUCCAACCAGCCCUGAAAAUGGAUGGGAGCUGGAAGCGUCGGACCUAUACCGGACCGUCAUUGCAAGCUGAGUCGGUAAUGUGUGGUGUGAGGGCAACCACAAUGACUUCAGGCGAAUUGUUGUGGACGAGUAGGAGGGUCGCCGUGGUGAGCGGAGAGCUUCGGGCGUGACCUGAAAAAAAGUGGAGGCCGCCAAACGGGUGGCAGAUCUUGGUGUAGUAGCAAAUAUUCAAUGUGAGGAACCUUGAAGGCGAGGUGGAGAAGGGUUCCAUGGGAAAGCAGUUGGCCAUGGGUCAUGCGUCCUAAGUGAUCCGGUAAAUCGUGCAGAGACCGGGGUGCCCUGACCAUUGUCAGGAUUGCUGCCAUUUGUACUGUUGCACCGGUAAAGCCCGCCCUGUAGCGAAAAGGGAAUAGGGUUAAUAUUCCCGACCACUGCCCAAACGGAGAAUUGUGUAUUCUGGGCUUCGGUCAGUUUGCACCUGGCGCCGGUAACGCAAUCGACUCGGGAGACGUCGGCGAGAGUUCUGGGAAGAGUUCUCUUUCUUGUUAGGAGUUGCACCAAUCCCUGGAAACGGGUUUGGUCCGGAGAUAGGGGACUAGCCUCCGUAAAAAGUCACCAAGCCUUCUUGUGGUGUCCGGAACAGCUCUUGUCGGCCCCUUGAAAAUCCCGAGCGAGGCUAUGUAAUUUUCGUGCAGGCCGUACCCAUAUCCGCACAAAGGUUCUCCAAGGUGAACAGCCCUCUGGCAUUGAACAAUGUAGGUAAGGGAAAGUCGGCAAAAUUGGAUGCCGUAACUUCCGGGAAAGGAUUGGCUGCUGAGGGCCGAGUCAAAAACGGGCUGCAAGUAGUAUACGUGUCGGUCAAUGUUGGAGCUGGUUUCUCUGUUGCCCUUGGUCUGGCUUCGGUGGGUAGGGUUGACCGGAGUUUACUGAGCUCGGAGUGACACGGAAUCGGUCGUGGGCGACUUCAGCUAACAGAGUUGCUUGGCAAGCCGUUGCAUGGGUAACUGUGUGCGCAAAUGGUGAGUCUUGCUCUCCUUAAGUCUGGCGUUAACGGCUAACUCAGAACUGGCACGGACCAGAGGAUUCGCGACUGUCCCUAAUUAAAACAAAGCAAUUCGCGAUAGUCCACCUGAUCGGUUUUGACGCAAUGUGAUUUCUGCCCAGUGCUCGAAUGUCAAAAGUGAAGAAAAUUAAUCAAGCGAGGGUAAACGGCGGAGUAACUAUGACUCUCUUAAGGUAGCCAAAUGCCUCGUCAUCCUAAUUUAGUGACGCCGCAUGAUGGAUUAACUGAGUUCCUACUGUCCCUAUCUACCUAUCUACGAAACACAGCCAAAGGACGGGCUUUGGCAGAAUUCGCGGGGAAAGACCCUGUUGAGCUUGACUCAGUCCGACUUUGUAGGAGACAUGACGGUUGUGUAGAAAUAAGUGGGAGAACUCGGUCCUUCCGGGCUUUGUCGACAGUGAAAUACCACCACCGUCAUUGUUUCUUUGCCUUAUUCAGUAAAACAGGGGGAAAUUGAUUUUGGUUCUAAAGAGCAAUGCUGGCGUCCGUGGCCGUAUGCCUGCGGGGGUUGGUUAUCCUUGGUCAUGUCAGAGUAGAUGUGGUCUCGGCCGCGGCGUUUUUGAGUCGAUUGUAUUGCGACCCGUCUGAAGACAAUGUCAGGCCGGGGAGUUUCGACUGGGGGCGGUACAUCUGUCAAAUGGUAAACGCAGGUGUCCCCAAAGGUGAGGCUUCAAGCCAGGACGGAUAACCUGGCGUGGAAGUAAAAAAGGGCAAAAGCUUUACUUGAUUUUUGAUUUUCAGUACGAAUACAGACCGUGAAAGCGUGGGCUAUCGAUCCUUUUGAAUUCCGUAUUCAGAGUUUGAAGCAANNNNNNNNNNNNNNNNNNNNNNNNNUGUCCCCCCCGGUUUUUUUGAUAUUUCCGGCCCCCGCGCGCAAUUGGUCCCCAGACCACGGGGGCUCCACCACGCCCUGGGGGCCGUUUCUCCCCGCACAAAUCCGUGGCCCCUUUGCCUUGGGAGGGUUAACGUGGGGGGGCAGAAGUGCCAAUUUUGAUUGUUAAGUUUGAGGUUUUGUAGGCUUGACCGCCACUGGGUCACCUUUUUUGUCUGGUCUCUCAACCCCUUGCCCCCACUCCACGGGGUCCCCCGUGCUGCGCCACACCACAGCUUCAGACAGGGGCGGGUUUUUCGCCCCCACGCCUCCCUUCCCUCCCCGCUUUACAUCACACCCCCCACGACCCCGGGCGCCUUUUUAAUUUUUGUCUUCGGCUUAUGGACCACCGGGUGUCACGGGGGUUUCCGCAACCACAACGAGGGGGGGGAUGCCUCCGAACCGUAUCCCGCCCCCGGCCCCGGUCGGGCGGGGUUGGCCCCCGCCGCUCCCAUGCAGGAGGCGGGGCCGGUGGCCCCGGCUCCCACCCUAGCCGCAACAGAUCAAUCCCCCCAUUUGUCGCUUCUUCCUUUUCGGCAGAGCCUUGUUUUGUUACCAGUCACCCCCUUCCCGGCCCCGGGACCCCUACGGGGCACCUCUUUUUUUUUUUUUUUUGGGGGGCUUGGUCCCCCACGACCCCCAAACCAUCGGCGUUUGGUUGGGCCCCCCGGGUUUGGGGGGGGGAGUUACGCCCAGCGCCCCCCCCUUGUCACACGCUCACCUCCCCCCCGAUUCAGCACAAUCCCGGCCCGAAUCACAGUUCGCCCCCCUGGCCCCCCCCGUUUUUUAGAUCGUUUUCUAUUCUUGUUUGGGGAGGGGUGGGGGUACUUUAUUUCUCCCCGAUUUUUUUUGCGAACCUUUAGCAUCCUUUUUUUGUGGCGGGGCACCCGACACGGCCAUGAGGGGGAGUAUUGGGGGGGCCGUCACGACAAACUUAUUUCGGUUUUUUUUGCCCCACCCCCCCUCGGUCCUUUCGCCGCCCCUCCCGCUUUUUUUUUCCGGCCUUUCCUCCGGCCCCCGCCCCCGGCCCUCGGGCGGGGGGGUGCGGUAUCCUUCCGCGGAACCCACCGAAACCCUCCGGGGGGGUCUUCCCCUUUGUCGAGCCUGUCUUCGGUUAAGCUCGUGGGUUCUCAAGAGGGGGCACUUCAUCAAACAAUGUCAUCUCCCUUUUGGGAAAUCCACCCGGUUCUCCCCCUGGGUCGCGUUGCGAUAGACCCGUUGCGGAGGGGAGUCUGCCGGGUUACCGAGAAAACGGCGAACCGCCCCGCCGGCCUUUUUCCGGCCACCAGCUCAGAGCCCCUCAUAUGAGUCUGCCCUCUCCCAGUUGCUUUUGUUCUUUAUUCUUCGCUUUGCCACCCUCGCGAUUGGAGGGGGAGGGGCAGGGUAUUUUAAUUUUGGACUUUUUUGUCACAACCCACCCCCGGAUCAGUCCAUCGACCCUCAAUUCUGGUGGGCCCCCACCCACUACGCUUGGCUUUCCCCAGCAUCACGGCUCCCGACCCGAGUGCCCACACCCCCGCCCCCCGGACAACAUGCCCCCACAUUCACUGAUAUCGGACAGUGAAGUGAAAAAUACGAGUGUGGUAAAAGGAUAACAAAUUUGGUCGUUAAAGUUGCAAACUUUGGAACGGCUUGU